rnacentral:rRNA from 1 species
UAGCAUAUCAAUAAGCGGAGGAAAAGAAACCAACAGGGAUUGCCCCAGUAACGGCGAGUGAAGCGGCAACAGCUCAAAUUUGAAAUCUGGCCCCUAGGGCCCGAGUUGUAAUUUGCAGAGGAUGCUUUUGGCGAGGUGCCUUCCGAGUUCCCUGGAACGGGACGCCAUAGAGGGUGAGAGCCCCGUCUGGUUGGAUGCCGAGCCUCUGUAAAGCUCCUUCGACGAGUCGAGUAGUUUGGGAAUGCUGCUCUAAAUGGGAGGUAUAUGUCUUCUAAAGCUAAAUACCGGCCAGAGACCGAUAGCGCACAAGUAGAGUGAUCGAAAGAUGAAAAGCACUUUGAAAAGAGGGUUAAAUAGUACGUGAAAUUGUUGAAAGGGAAGCACUUAUGACCAGACUUGGACCCGGUGAAUCAUCCAGCGUUCUCGCUGGUGCACUUUGCCGGGCUCAGGCCAGCAUCAGUUUGCCUCGGGGGAUAAAGGCUUUGGGAAUGUGGCUCCCUCGGGAGUGUUAUAGCCCAUUGCACAAUACCCUGGGGCGGACUGAGGUUCGCGCAUCUGCAAGGAUGCUGGCGUAAUGGUCAUCAGUGACCCGUCUUGAAACACGGACCAAGGAGUCGUCUUCGUAUGCGAGUGUUCGGGUGUAAAACCCCUACGCGUAAUGAAAGUGAACGCAGGUGAGAGCUUCGGCGCAUCAUCGACCGAUCCUGAUGUUCUCGGAUGGAUUUGAGUAAGAGCAUACGGGGCCGGACCCGAAAGAAGGUGAACUAUGCCUGUAUAGGGUGAAGCCAGAGGAAACUCUGGUGGAGGCUCGCAGCGGUUCUGACGUGCAAAUCGAUCGUCAAAUAUGGGCAUGGGGGGCGAAAGACUAAUCGAACCUUCUAGUAGCUGGUUUCCGCGA